UACGUAGGGGGCUAGCGUUGUCCGGAAUCAUUGGGCGUAAAGAGCGUGUAGGCGGCCCGGUAAGUCCGCUGUAAAAGUCAAAGGCUCAACCUUUGAAUGUCAGUGGAUACUGCCGGGCUUGAGUACGGAAGAGGCGAGUGGAAUUCCUGGUGUAGCGGUGAAAUGCGCAGAUAUCAGGAGGAACACCAAUUGCGAAGGCAGCUCGCUGGGACGUUACUGACGCUGAGACGCGAAAGCGUGGGGAGCAAACAGG
rnacentral:rRNA from 1 species